GCAAUAUAAUUUAUGUAUUUUUGUAACUUCUCCACUCCACCAUUCAAUUUCUUUUUCGGUACAUUGUUUAAAAUUGUACCUGUACAGUUUUUAAAGCUCGCCAUGGACUACAACAAUGGUUCCCGCAAGUGUGUUAAAUGCGGAACAUCACGUAAUCAGGACAAUACAAUUACUACACACCGAUUCCCUUUCCCGGGAACUAAUAAUAUUUUGAGGGCAAUGGCGUGGGCUACAUAUUGCUGGCCGGAUGAAGACUGGUCUAGCAUAAAGACUCUGACGGCACUCUAUUAUAAGAACAGAGUGCUAUGUAGCAAACAUUUUCGAGAUGAUAUGUAUAUUGACAAUGCCAAGAAACGCCUCUCCAAACAUGCAGUACCGGGAACGAAGGAAUAUGUAGCCAAUAUAUUGCAGUCAUUGAAGGCCAAAGUAUCAGUAGAUUCAAUAGUACAACAGGUCAAGUUGUCACUUCAACAUCCUGCGGCUGGUUGUACGACCAAUCUCCGCUAUUGUAAGUAUUUAUUAUUUUUAUGCCACUAUUAUUUAUUAUUUUAUGGCACAUCCUAG